GCUGCCAUACUUGCUGCAGCCUCCCCCAGAAGUCACGUCCCGUCUCAGUCCAUGAAAUGGAUUUGUUGUUUUUUCCAGGGACAAAAAGACUGGAUCAACACUGCUGAGUCUUCUGAAGAGAGAAGCACCGGCAGCUCCGCUGUCUCCUUGCAGCAGGAGAAGAAGCAAGCAGCUCAGACCCAGGAUAAUGAGCCCGGGGAAGAGGAUAAGAAGGAUUUCAAGGGGCCUGGUGAUGACUUCAGGGUGCACAAACAGAUGAUAUCAUGAGGAAUCAAGUAAUCACCGCGUGGAGGGAUAUAAACAAAGUGUUCCACCAAACAGGGCUGUGCCAAGGGCUGCAGGAUCCUGAGGGAGAAAGAGAAGCCAUGGAAGACCCCUCAAGGACCCAGAAAAGCAAAUCAAUGUCUGGCUGACAAACCCAAAGGGAUGGCAGGGACCAGAGGGCAAACACAUUGAAGACCGUUUCUGCAAAAAGAUAUCUCUGGGAACGUGUGAAGUGUUUACGGUGGAUCGGACAGCUCCCGACAGCCUUUUUCAAUUAGAGACUGGGGGUGGUGGUUGGGUGGAAACUGGGGUUGGGGGGGGAACUCUAGCAAUGUGUGAAUUUCAGACUAAUCACCUUCAGGUGCAGCUUGGCGGCGGGCUUGGCCGUGAAGCUGUGCGGAGGCCGAUGUUUGGCUUGUCUUAUUUAA